rnacentral:piRNA from 1 species
CCCACGCCUGGGUUUUCCACUCGAAGAGGAA